rnacentral:rRNA from 1 species
GAUGAACGCUGGCGGCGUGCUUAACACAUGCAAGUCGAACGGGAUCCAAGGGGUGCUUGCACUUUUUGGUGAGAGUGGCGAACGGGUGAGUAACACGUGAGUAACCUGUCCUUUUCUUUGGGAUAAGCAUUCGAAAGGGUGUUUAAUACCUUAUGUUCUGUCUGCCUCGCAUGGGGUGGGUGGGAAAGGCUUUGGCCGGAUUUGGGUGGGCUCGCGGUCUAUCAGCUUGUUGGUGGGGUGAUGGCUUACCAAGGCUUUGACGGGUAGCCGGCCUGAGAGGGUGGUCGGUCACAUUGGGACUGCGAUACGGUCCAGACUCCUGCGGGAGGCAGCAGUGGGGGAUAGUGCACAAUGGGCGAAAGCCUGAUGCAGCGACGCCGCGUGGGGGAUGAAGGCCUGCGGGUUGUAAACUUCUUUUGCUCUGAACAAGGCAUGCCAGUGGGUGUGUUGAGUGUAGGGGUGGAUUAGCGCCGGCUAACUACGUG